rnacentral:misc_RNA from 1 species
ACAAUUCAAAGAAUCUGAAAAGCAUUACUAUACAAUUUACAAGAAGAUCUUAGCUAUAAAAAAUGACAUAAAAAAAUUUGAGUUUCACCUCAUAGGUCACUGUUUCCUGAUUAUAAUGAACAAUUUGUCCUUGCCUAGACAAGAAAAUAUCCCUUUUCAUACAGAAUGACACUACAUCUAUACCAGAAAGAUAGAUGGUCAUUUUCUUUGGGAUAUUCCUGGAUCGGGUAUGUGUGAUCCCAAUUGUGAUUGUAGAAAUGAAAACUGGGAAGGAGACUAUGAUCUUCCUUUGGCUCCAAAAUAGUGGAAAAAGUUACAUUGCCGCUCUCAUUUUUUAUGCAACCACUAUAAGCCCAGAAGAGACUCAUUUUCUUAUUCUGGCCCCUCCUUCGGUGCUACCCUUUGUAGCUUCAUGUAUAAUGCUCCUUAGAAGAAUCAUAUGAAGAAAACUUCCCUCCUUUACAGCAUAGGAUUGAUCAUAUCACCGGAGUUGUUUCCAAAUUAUAACAAGUGACAAUUGAAGAUGUAUAAUUCGUAGGGAAACUGAGGGUUAAUUGUAAUGCAUGUGAUGUUG